rnacentral:lncRNA from 1 species
CCGCGGGUAGGGGCGGGUAAUACGGGUACGGGGCGGGUACGGGCCGGUUCUUAGUUUUGUAAAAAUAGAUCGGGGCGGGGCGGGGCGGGUAAUUGAAGUUUUAGGGGCGGGUCGGUUCCAAAAUUAUAGGAUCCGCGGGUACCCGAACCGGCCCGUUUGUGUUAGAUUGGACGGACGAGAUUUAAUAUCAUCUCUCCAUCCAAUCUCAACCGUCAGUUCAAGUUUUCAACUUUCAACCCUAGCCAACCUUCCCCGAGUCCUGAGUUCCAGAAGCAUCCUCAGCCUCCUCAGCAGCCUCAGACUCUCCCUCGACUCCCUCUCCCUGAGUCCCUCUCCCUAUCCCUCUCCCUCGAAUCCCUCUCCCUAUCCCUUCCCUCCCUCGACUCCGACUCACAGUGCUCACGACCUCACCACUCUCACAGCGCUGUCGCGAGUCGCGACCAACAUCAUCACCCCCCAUCACCACCUCCGCCGUCGCAACCACCAUCAUCACCCCAUCACCACCGUCGAUGCUACUACCAGUACCAAGGCAAGUACCAACCAUCAUCCCUCUAAAAUUUAUGGAAUUUUGAAUUAGGUUUUACUAUUAAUGUGAAUUUCUGGUGUAGGGAUUUUUAGGGGUUUUAAGUUAGAAUUUGUAGAAUUUAUAGAUCGAUGAUUGAGUUAUAAAAAAUAUUCCUCUUUUGAUUUUUUUCAGAAAGAGAGGAAUUGCCCGCCUGCGGGAACCUCUGCUUCUUCUGUCCUUCAACAUUUAGUCUUUAAAUUUAGGUUUAUGUUCAAUCUAAUCGUGCAAGUGUAAUUACUGUUAAGCUUCAUUUCUGCUGUUACUAUUGCAGCCGUGAGUCCGUGACUGCUUUUAAUAAGUUAUUUUGUAGGUCCUAGUUGAGACUUUGAAUAGUCUUGAUAUCAGACGGUUGCUCCGGUGCCCGUAGAUGGGAGACAAGCUGCUGCUGGUGUAUUGAAUCAAAUUCAAGAUGGUAAGGUUGUUGUUUCCAUGGCACCCCAAGCGUCUGCUAUGUGACAAAUAUAAAUAAUAAAAUUCAUAUAUAAUGUGUUUGUUCUUUUUUUUUCUAAUGGUUCUACAGUUAAAUAAGAAGAAAUAAGAAUUUAAUUGUAUGGGUUUGUGGUGGAUGCUUCUCUGGUUUUGAAAUUGGAAACCUUUAUUGUUGUUCUGAUAGUAUGACAAUUAACAUUGUUUCUUGUGUAUAUGAGGAAUUGUUUUAGUGCAAAGUAUUGGGUUUCUUUGGAUUUUAGUUGUUCUUGAAUCGAAAGUAGUGAAACACUGAAAAUUCUUGAUACAGAUAUUGUGAUUGAGCCUUUUGCGUGAACUAUAGCUGCUUUAGUCAUACAGAAACGUGACAAGAGCCUCGGUAAAGAUUGUAGCAGCGUUUUCUCCUGAUAUGUUAGCCGCUUUUGUUACCUGAAAAGUUGAUUAGUAUAUCGAUAUAACUGUCAUUCAGAACGUAGCGAGUUUUGGCAUCUAUUCAUAAUUAAUCUGCAGUUUUGGUGUAACUUCUGUGUUUGCUCUCUUUUCUAUAUUGCUCUUAAAUUGGUAGUAGAAGAAUACAAACACAUGAAUGUUGUCAUUGAGCUUUUUGCGCACCAUGCUGCUACUUUGGGUACAAAGAAUGGUGACAAGAACAAGGAUAAAGAUGGUGGAAAUUGUUAAAGUGAGUAGUCGUAGUUCGGGUUAUGAUGCAUAUAUGUGUAGACCAUGUGGCGGGAUCUGCAUCAAAAAUAUUUUUUGACCUCAAACGAGAUAUCGCUUGAUAGUUUGUUUAUAUUAACUUAAUGUAAGGUCUAGUCUACUUUAUAUUGUAAUAAAAUGCAGCAAUGUGUGCCAUGAUGUAUUAACUUAACACAAAUGAAGUAAUUGUUGAUUCUUCUUAUCCAGCCUGGUUAAAAUGAAGCAAUUUGUGCAGUUUUUUUCAAACUGCAAUCUGUGCAGUUUGAGAAACUGCAAUCUGUGCAGUUUUUUCAAACUGCAAUUUGUGGAAUCUGUGAAAUUUGUGGAAUUUGUGCAGUUUUUUCAAACUGCAAUAUGUGAAAUAUGUUCUGUGUAAAAACUGCAAUCUGUGCAGUUUUAUCAAACUGCAAUCUGUGUGCAGCAAACAUUUUUAAACAGGAAAAAAAAAAAAAAAAAAGACCCGUGUACCCGGACCGAACCGGCCCGUUUCAACCGGGCCGGGUAAGGUCCGGUUCCUAUUUUCAGAAUUGUAGUGCCCGGCCCGGCCCGUCCCGUCUCCUUUAAUUCCGGGUCCGGUCCGGUCCCUUCAAAAAUGGGCUCGGCCCGGCCCGUGCCCAGCCCUAGU